rnacentral:rRNA from 1 species
NNCUGGGAGGAUUGACAGAUUGAGAGCUCUUUCUGAUUCGGUGGAUAGUGGUGCAUGUCCGUUCUUAUUUGGUGGAGAGAUUUGUCUGGUCAAUUCUGAUAACGAACGAGACUCUAGUCGAUUAAAUAGGUGCGUGGUUUCUCUGAACCCUGCACCCUUCUUAGAGAAACAAGCGGCUCCUAGCCGCACAAAACAGAGCAAUAACAGGUCUGUGAUGCCCUUAGAU